AGCUGGAGUGGCAGAGCCCGGUAAUUGCUAGGGUCCUAAGACCCCUCCUUCAGAGGUUCAAUUCCUCUCUCCAGCU
rnacentral:tRNA from 1 species